UCCAGACUCCUACGGGAGGCAGCAGUGGGGGAUAUUGCACAAUGGGGGGAACCCUGAUGCAGCGACGCCGCGUGGGUGAAGGAGUGCUUCGGCAUGUAAAGCCCUAUCGGCAGGGAAGAAGCAAGAUGGUACAUGACUAAGAAGCCCCGGCUAACUACGUGCCAGCAGCCGCGGUAAUACGUAGGGGGCGAGCGUUAUCCGGAUUCACUGGGUGUAAAGGGAGCGUAGACGGCCAUGCAAGCCAGGGGUGAAAGCCCGGGGCCCAACCCCGGGACUGCCCUUGGAACUGCAUGGCUGGAGUGCGGGAGGGGCAGGCGGAAUUCCCAGUGUAGCGGUGAAAUGCGUAGAUAUUAGGAGGAACACCAGUGGCGAAGGCGGCUUACUGGACUGUAACUGACGUUGAGGCUCGAAAGCGUGGGGAGCAAACAGGAUUAGAUACCCGAGUAGUC
rnacentral:rRNA from 1 species